GUCUAUGGCCAUGUCACCCUGAACAAGCCCGAUCUCGUCUGAUCUCGGAAACUAGGCAGGGUCAGGCCUGGUUAAUACUUGGAUGGGAGACCACUUAGGAAUAUCGGGUGCUGUAUGCA
rnacentral:rRNA from 1 species